GCCGUCCGCCGUCGUCUUGGGCUCCCGGCCGUGCCGCGCCGCCACCUCUCCGGACAAGAGCAGAACGGCAAGCCUCCUACUCUUUCCGCCGAGCAGGUCAAUGUGAUAGAUCAGAAUCUGGAGAAAAUGCAAGCUGCUAUCGACAAUGGAUUUGUCGUGUGUGGAACCAUUAGACAUCUCCUUGAGGAAGGCAAGCUACGUAAUCCGUUUGUCCAGUGGGCAUGGAUGCUUGGCCUUACUUAUUUUGUUUCUUCUGCCGUACAAGUGAUGAGGCCAGCGAAGGGAGGCUGAUUCGACCGUAAUUUGACUUGAAGGAGGGAGCCAUUCUGAGAGAUGGCUGUGGUAUCCUUCAAGGAUCUAGAUGCACCUGAAGGUUUUGUUUUGUUGUUGAUGGUAUUAAUUAAGGGCACCUGUUAACCUGUUUAUUUAUGAAAAAUACUGUGUCUUCCUUUUAGCAAAAGAGGAGAUCCAUCAAACUCCAGGAGUGAGUUGCUGUGGCACCGUUUGCAUGUCUAAUCUUAACUUAUAUUAUGGUUGAUACAUGUUGUAUGAAUUUAAGUGUAUCUGAUGAAUUUACACAUGUUUAAUCUUUAACUUUGGUUGUAUGA